UGUGAUUGAACUACUGAUGAUUGUGAAACCAAUGGUGGUGGAGGUCCCAAAGGAGGUGGCGGUGGUGGCAGUGAUGAAACAGGAGGUGGAGGCGGAGGUGGUGGAGGUGAAGGAGAUGAAGGAGGUGGUGGCGGUGGCGGUGGCGGCGGCGGCGGUGAUGGAGGCAAAGGUGGCAGUGGAGGAGGAGAUUCUGGAGGCAAAGGUGGGGAGCCCUCGGGUAAAGGGGGCAACUCACUAUAAUUAUUUGAAGCUGGAUGCAAGAUCCUAUCUGAGCCACUCCUUUGAUCAGUUUCAAAAGAACCACUUUCAUCCUUUUGGUGUCCAGAAACAUCUUCCAUUUCAAGUUCACCAUCCACAUCCUCUAAGAUGCAAUGACGCCUAUCAUUUGGAGUAACUGUGCAUGUGUCUGACUCUCCUGAAGCACGUGUUUGCUCUGCUGGUGAUGCAUGACCAUCUUCAUUAAAUGUAAUGCUAGGAAGAUCUUCUUCUUCAUCAUCUUCAAAUACAUGAGAAGACAAAAGGCCAGGCAACUGAAAU
rnacentral:lncRNA from 1 species